UGGGGAAUAUUGGACAAUGGGCGAAAGCCUGAUCCAGCCAUGCCGCGUGUGUGAAGAAGGUCUUCGGAUUGUAAAGCACUUUAAGUUGGGAGGAAGGGCAUUAACCUAAUACGUUAGUGUUUUGACGUUACCGACAGAAUAAGCACCGGCUAACUCUGUGCCAGCAGCCGCGGUAAUACAGAGGGUGCAAGCGUUAAUCGGAAUUACUGGGCGUAAAGCGCGCGUAGGUGGUUUGUUAAGUUGGAUGUGAAAGCCCCGGGCUCAACCUGGGAACUGCAUCCAAAACUGGCAAGCUAGAGUACGGUAGAGGGUGGUGGAAUUUCCUGUGUAGCGGUGAGAUGCGUAGAUAUAGGAAGGAACACCAGUGGCGAAGGCGACCACCUGGACUGAUACUGACACUGAGGUGCGAAAGCGUGGGGAGCAAACA
rnacentral:rRNA from 1 species